UACGAAUGGGGCUAGCGUUGUUCGGAAUAACUGGGCGUAAAGCGCAUUUAGGCGGAUUUUUAAGUCAGAGGUGAAAUCCCAGGGCUCAACCCCGGCAUUGCCUUUGAUACUGGAGAUCUGGAGUCUGGGAGAGGUGAGUGGAAUUCCGAGUGUAGAGGUGAAAUUCGUAGAUAUUCGGAGGAACACCAGUGGCGAAGGCGGCUCACUGGCCCGAGAUUGACGAUGAGAUGCGAAAGCGUGGGGAGCAAACAGG
rnacentral:rRNA from 1 species